rnacentral:rRNA from 1 species
GAUGAACGCUAGCGGCAGGCUUAACACAUGCAAGUCGAGGGGUAGAGGAAGCUUGCUUCCUUGAGACCGGCGCACGGGUGCGUAACGCGUAUACAAUCUACCUUUUACAGAGGGAUAGCCCCAGAGAAAUUUGGAUUAAUACCUCAUAGUAUUUUCGGAUCGCAUGAUUUGAUUAUUAAAGUUCCAACGGUAAAGAUGAGUAUGCGUCCCAUUAGCUAGAUGGUAAGGUAACGGCUUACCAUGGCAAUGAUGGGUAGGGGUCCUGAGAGGGAGAUCCCCCACACUGGUACUGAGACACGGACCAGACUCCUACGGGAGGCAGCAGUGAGGAAUAUUGGACAAUGGGCGCAAGCCUGAUCCAGCCAUGCCGCGUGCAGGAAUAAGGUCCUAUGGAUUGUAAACUGCUUUAUACAGGAAGAAACACACCCUCGUGAGGGUACUUGACGGUACUGUAUGAAGUAAGGACCGGCUAACUCCGUGCCAGCAGCCG